rnacentral:tRNA from 1 species
GCCGGCAUAGCUCAGCUGGUAGAGCAACUGAUUUGUAAUCAGUAGGUCCCGCGUUCGAAUCGUGGUGCCGGCACCA